rnacentral:rRNA from 1 species
UACGAAGGUGGCAAGCGUUGUUCGGAUUUACUGGGCGUACAGGGAGCGUAGGCGGUUGGAUAAGCCCUCCGUGAAAUCUCCAGGCUUAACCUGGAAAGUGCAGAGGGGACUGUUCAGCUAGAGGAUGGGAGAGGAGCGCGGAAUUCCCGAGGUGAGCGGUGAAAUGCGUAGAGUAUCGGGAGGAAGCCGGUGGCGAAGGCGGCGUCUG